rnacentral:rRNA from 1 species
ACAAGCGGUGGAGCGAUGUGGUUUAAUUCGAAGCAACGCGAAGAACCUUACCAGGUCUUGACAUCCCGAUGCUAUUUCUAGAGAUAGAAAGUUACUUCGGUACAUCGGUGACAGGUGGUGCAUGGUUGUCGUCAGCUCGUGUCGUGAGAUGUUGGGUUAAGUCCCGCAACGAGCGCAACCCCUAUUGUUAGUUGCCAUCAUUCAGUUGGGCACUCUAGCGAGACUGCCGGUAAUAAACCGGAGGAAGGUGGGGAUGACGUCAAAUCAUCAUGCCCCUUAUGACCUGGGCUACACACGUGCUACAAUGGUUGGUACAACGAGUUGCGAGUCGGUGACGGCGAGCUAAUCUCUUAAAGCCAAUCUCAGUUCGGAUUGUAGGCUGCAACUCGCCUACAUGAAGUCGGAAUCGCUAGUAAUCGCGGAUCAGCACGCCGCGGUCGAAUACGUUCCCGGGCCUU